rnacentral:rRNA from 1 species
AUGGCGCAGCCGCCGCCGCCGCAGACGACGCCGGUGACGGCGGUGAUACCGCGGGAGGCGUGGGAGGGCUGCAGCGUGCUCCUCGACAUCAACGACGGCGACCGCCUCGCCUUCUUCCGCCUCACCCCCGGCGCGACGGUGAAGAUAGGGGACAGGAGCUGCUCGCUGCAGCCGCUGCUCGGCCGCCCCUUCGGCUCCCUCUUCCGCGUCGGCCCCGACGGCCUCCUCCCCUGCUCCGCCGCCGCCGCCGCCGCGCCGUCCCAAGAUGAUAGGCCACGGGACGGUGGCCGGCCGCAGGACGAGACGAGGGACAAUAGGUCCCUGGUCGACAACAACACCGCGCAGACGCUGUCCAGCGAGGACAUCGAGGCGAUGAAGCGGGAGGGUGCGAGCGGUGAUGCGAUCGUGGAGGCCUUGAUAGCGAACAGCUCCACAUUUGGAAAUAAGACGGUGUUCUCACAGGAGAAAUACAAGCUGAAGAAACAAAAGAAAUAUGCGCCUAAAGUGCUCUUGCGACGCCCCUCUACCCGAAGCAUUUGUGAGACAUAUUUCAAGAAGUAUCCAGCUCGAAUAGGGUUUAUGCGAGUUGAUACGCUCUCCCUCUUGUUGUCAAUGGCAAAUGUUGGUGCAUAUUCAGAUGUGCUUGCCGUUGAUAUGGUUGGGGGUUUAGUUGUUGGAGCUGUAGCUGAACGCUUAGGAGGUACAGGAUAUGUUUGUAGCACAUAUCUUGGAUCAGCGCCCAGCUCUAUAGACAUAAUAAGAAUGUAUAAUUUGGACAGCGAGAUGACCAGCAGGAUUUUCCAGGCACCACUUAGCGACCUGUGCUCCUUGAAAAGUUCUGGCAAUGCUCCUGGUAGCGUUCAAGGUGAUGCGGUCGAACCUAGUGGAGUACCAGACGAGAGUCUUCAGUCAUCCCUGGAAAAACCAUCUGAUACAGAAGUAUCAGAUGGGAAUGCGCAGUCAACGACAGCGCAGCCAAUUGUUAUAGGGGCCCCUGAGCCUGCAACGGAUGAGCACCUUAAUCAAGGUGACAUCCCAAUUGAUAUAGAGGCCCCUGAGCCUGCGGAUGAGCACCUUAAUCAAGGUGGCAUUUCUAUGCCGGAUUGCAAAGGAAGUAAUGGCAAUUCAAUAGCUCCCAAAGCACCGAGAGCAGGAAAAGCACCCUCACCGGAGAGGAUGAAAUAUUGGGGAGAACAUGGCUUUAGCAGUUUGAUUGUUGCUGCUCCGGGACAUGAGGUGGAGAGUGUGGUUGCUGAUUUGCUUCCACUCUUGUCUUAUUCAGCCCCAUUUGCCAUUUAUCACCAGUAUCUUCAGCCUCUUGCGACUUGCAUGCAUAGUUUGCAAGUAUCAAAAAUGGCUAUUGGGUUACAGAUUACUGAACCCUGGCUUCGAGAGUAUCAGGUCCUUCCAUCGCGCAGCCACCCACACAUGCAGAUGAACGCGUUUGGUGGGUAUAUCUUGAGUGGCAUCCGGGUACACAAGCCAGACCCGUCGGGAGCACGAGUGCAAGAGAAGUCAUCUGGCGCAACGGAGAGCAUGCUUGUCUCGUUGUAA